AUAUAAAUAGCUUAUUAUUAGAGUUUAACACUGAAGAUGUUAAGGAAAUAUUUAUAUUUUUAGGUAUAUUUAUAAA
rnacentral:tRNA from 1 species